CCUCACCCCACCCCUCGGUCGUACUCCUCUUCCCCACGAUCUCGUCGCCGCCACCACCACCCACGCUGGGACGAGACCGAGGUGGCCAGGCCGCGUCCCAGUCCCCGUCCCUGUACGUGCUGCACCAGUCCACUCACCAGACUCCGCCCGCUCGCCGCUCGUUCCCAAUGCCUGCUCGCCACUCCCGCCGAUCUGCACCGGAGCAGGAAGGGGCAGCAGACCGCCGGACGCCCUGCGCCGCUCCGCAGGCCGGCGCUCGCCUCCGCCGCCACCCGAGGCCUAUGCCGCACCCUCGCCGUCUCCGCCCAGUCGGCCAGCCUCGACGCAGGAGUUGGACCAUGAUCUCGUCGCCCCUCUCCCCCGAUUUCUGAUUCAUUCGCGGCCUCGCGGAUCAAAUCUGGCCGACUGACUGGCUGACGGACUGAUUUCUUGUCGUCACGAUGGAUGUUGCUUUGCAGGUGGCCAGGGUCUCCGCCUUCGGCGGCGUCGUCUACGGCUCCGUCAAGCUCGGCAUCCUCAAGACUUUGUGAAGCCACAGGAGCUAGGGGUUGCACCGCAGGAGCAAUAGCAUGUACAAGUACUGAACAUUGAAGAUUGCAUUGCAGCUCAUCAGUAUGCCUUCCUUGCAAUCUUUGAAGCCUAUUAAAUUCUGAAGUGUUACUUUUUUCUAUACAAGUUUGUUUGUGUCAAGUACUUGCUAAUUGAUGUUUUGAGGGGUGCUCAUAUAAUUCCUCGGCAACAUGGGAAGUUUUCACAUUUGGUCUAGUUGCCUCUAUGGGUAGAAGAUAGCGACAGAGUUGGAAGGUUUGUGCGGAGAUCUUACCUCGAGGUUAUCACAUAUGCGCACAAUAUGACACGGAAUUGGCCUAAAAUAGGGAGCUACAAGAUAAACUUUUAAAGGUUUACCUCACUGUUUGCUUCAACGAAGAGAUUUGAAGAGUUGCAAAAGGUAAUUUUGGGGAAAAUUUCCGUUGUUGCAAGAUAAUGAGAUGUUGAAGCGGCAGACUGAAUCCAUGACACCGAAGUGCAAUUGCGGCAGAUUAUCUUUAUCUUUCCUUUUCCUUUUUCUUAUUAUUGAGUGAGAACGGAUAGAAUGAGGAAAUGUGUGAUAGUAGAUACAACAUCUGUAGUAAAAAGAAACUUAUGUUUGCAAUUGUUAAUGGCAUACAUACUUGCAUGUUCUUUGAA